UUCUUAUUGGAUUAUGACUCUCACGUGUCAUGUUCUGAUUGGUCAAUGAAAAUAACAAUGCAUUUCAUCUUUCAUGGAGUUGACAUUCAAUCAAAACAUGACAUGUGACAAUCAUCAUCC
rnacentral:pre_miRNA from 1 species